AUACACACGCAACCCUACCCCUAUAAGUACCUCCGAGAGAUAGAGUUGGAAAAUCCUUUAGAUUGACGAAACCACCAUUAACGCCUCACUAUCAGGUACGUCGCCUUCCACUGAAAGUAUAAUGCUAGUUAAAUCUGGAAAUGAAUCCAGGAUAAUAUGAGUGCCAGUGUUGAGUCGAGGAUUCGAACCCAGCAGGGCAGGUUUUACCAUAAGCAAUCUUCCUAGUUGAGCUACGCUUAAUUUGUGCUUUCUUAUUUUCUGAAC
rnacentral:lncRNA from 1 species